GAACGGCGGUAGCGAUACCGGCGUGGCGCACGGGUGAGUAACGCGUGGGAACCUGCCCUUGAGUGGGGGAUAACCCGGCGAAAGCCGGGCUAAUACCGCAUACGCCCCAUGAGCGAUCAUGGGGGAAAGAUUUAUCGCUCGAGGAGGGGCCCGCGUGGGAUUAGCUAGUUGGUGGGGUAAUGGCUCACCAAGGCGACGAUCCGUAGCUGGUCUGAGAGGAUGAUCAGCCACACUGGGACUGAGACACGGCCCAGACUCCUACGGGAGGCAGCAGUGGGGAAUAUUGGACAAUGGGCGCAAGCCUGAUCCAGCCAUGCCGCGUGAGUGACGAAGGCCUUAGGGUUGUAAAGCUCUUUUGGCGGGGAAGAUAAUGACGGUACCCGCAGAAUAAGCUCCGGCUAACUUCGUG
rnacentral:rRNA from 1 species